rnacentral:SRP_RNA from 1 species
GCUGGUGUGGUGGUUUGUGCCUGUAGUCCUGGCUACACGGGAGGAUGGAGCAGGAGGAUUACUUGAGCCCAGGAAUUCUGGGCUGCAGUGCGCUCUGCCAAUUGGGUGUCUUCACUAAGUUUGGCAUCAAUCUGGUGACUUCCUGCGAGUAGGGGACCACUAGGAUGGUUGCCUGUGGGAAGGGGGGAUGAACCAGCCCAGGUCAGAAAUGGAGCAUGUCAAAAUCCCAUGCUGAUCAGUAGUGGGAUGGUGCCUGUGAAUAGCCACUGAACUCCUACCUGGGCAACUUAGUGAAAUCCUGUCUCU